rnacentral:rRNA from 1 species
GAUGAACGCUGGCGGCGUGCCUAAUACAUGCCAGUCGAGCGAACAGACGAGGAGCUUGCUCCUCUGACGUUAGCGGCGGACGGGUGAGUAACACGUGGAUAACCUACCUAUAAGACUGGGAUAACUUCGGGAAACCGGAGCUAAUACCGGAUAACAUGUUGAACCGCAUGGUUCAACAGUGAAAGACAGUCUUGCUGUCACUUAUAGAUGGAUCCGCGCCGCAUUAGCUAGUUGGUAAGGUAACGGCUUACCAAGGCAACGAUGCGUAGCCGACCUGAGAGGGAGAUGGGCCACACGGGAGGAGAGACACGGUCCAGACGAAUACGGGAGGCAGCAGGAGGGAAUCUUCGGAAAUGGGCGACAGCCUGACAAAGCAACGACGCGGGAGUGAAGAAGGUCUUCAGAUCGUAAAACUCUGUUAUUAGGGAAGAACAAAUAUGUAAGUAACAAUGCACGUCUUGACGGUACCUAAUCAGAAAGCCACGGCUAACUACGUG